rnacentral:lncRNA from 1 species
GUUCUGGAAUGAUAACAUAAAUAAAAUAGACGUAAAUAUGAAUUCUUUUUCUUUGAUAUCUAACCUGAUGACCUAAAAAAAAUAGUCACAUUAUUUUCCCACACUUGGUAAGAUAAAAAUAGUGUUUCAAAGGUUAUAUUCAGAAAAAAAAAUUAUUAUUAUCUCUAUCAACAUCCCUACCUGGUCUUAAAAGAUAGAGGAAGGCAAAAAACAGUUUCUAUCCCCAAGUGGUAUAUCCAAAUUGUAUGAAAAUUGGACAUCCAUCAAAUUUUAGUAUAAAAAUCAAAAUUUAUUGAUUCAAAAGAGACUGUCCAGAAACAAACAUGGUUUCAUACAUUUAAAAGAAGAUAGACCACUCACUUUUGUGAUAUUAAAAUCAAUAGACAACAUCUCCGAACAGAAUAGAUCGACAACAACCAUAACUUGAAAGAAAAAGUUCCCAAACUGAAAUGCUGACAAAAAGCUAUCCAAAUGCCUUCAUCACAAUAUAAACUAAGGUAAAGGAAAAAUCAUAGCUUGUUCGUUAUCUAAACUUCUUUGAUAUCUAACCUGAUGACCUAAAAAAAUAUCCACAUUAUUUUCCCACACUUUGUAAGAUAAAAAUAGUGUUUCAAAGGUUAUAUUCAGAAAAAAAAAUCAUUUUAUUAUUAUCUCUAUCAACAUCCCUACCUGGUAUUAAAAGAUAGAGGAAGGCAAAAAAAAAAGAGUUUCUAUCCCCAAGUGGUAUAUCCAAAUUGUAUGAAAAUUGGACAUCCAUCAAAUUUUAGUAUAAAAAUCAAAAUUUAUUGAUUCAAAACAGAUUGUCCAGAAACAAACAUGAUUUCAUACAUUUAAAAGAAGAUAGACCACUCACUUUUGUGAUAUCAAAAUCAAUAGACAACAUCUUCUCCAAACAGAAUAGAUCGACAACAACCAGAACUUGAAAUGCUGACACAAAGCUAUCCAAAUGCCUUCAUCACAAUAUAAACUAAGAUAAAGGAAAAAUCAUAGCUUGUUCGUUAUCUAAUCUUCUUAUAUUUGUUUCAUAAAUGCAGUCACAAAAAUCAACAGUAUUUUGUUACCAAAUCGUGAAAUUAUAUUAUUAAUAACCAUAUAUGAUUAAGAAAAACAAA